UACGGAGGGGACUAGCGUUGUUCGGAAUUACUGGGCGUAAAGCGCACGUAGGCGGAUUGUUAAGUCAGGGGUGAAAUCCCGAGGCUCAACCUCGGAACUGCCUUUGAUACUGGCAAUCUCGAGUCCGGAAGAGGUGAGUGGAAUUCCCAGUGUAGAGGUGAAAUUCGUAGAUAUUGGGAAGAACACCAGUGGCGAAGGCGGCUCACUGGCCCGUAACUGACGCUGAGGUGCGAAAGCGUGGGGAGCAAACAGG
rnacentral:rRNA from 1 species